rnacentral:tRNA from 1 species
ACCCCAGUAGCUUAAAAAAAUAGGAUAAAGCUGAUAAAUACUCCCGAUCUUCGGGCAUAGUGUGAUACGGGUUCAAAUCCCGUCUGGGGUUUA